rnacentral:rRNA from 1 species
UCCUACGGGAGGCAGCAGUGGGGAAUAUUGGACAAUGGGCGAAAGCCUGAUCCAGCCAUGCCGCGUGUGUGAAGAAGGCCUUUUGGUUGUAAAGCACUUUAAGCGAGGAGGAGGCUACUUGGAUUAAUACUCUAGGAUAGUGGACGUUACUCGCAGAAUAAGCACCGGCUAACUCUGUGCCAGCAGCCGCGGUAAUACAGAGGGUGCGAGCGUUAAUCGGAUUUACUGGGCGUAAAGCGUGCGUAGGCGGCUUUUUAAGUCGGAUGUGAAAUCCCUGAGCUUAACUUAGGAAUUGCAUUCGAUACUGGGAAGCUAGAGUAUGGGAGAGGAUGGUAGAAUUCCAGGUGUAGCGGUGAAAUGCGUAGAGAUCUGGAGGAAUACCGAUGGCGAAGGCAGCCAUCUGGCCUAAUACUGACGCUGAGGUACGAAAGCAUGGGGAGCAAACAGGAUUAGAUACCCUGGUAGUCCAUGCCGUAAACGAUGUCUACUAGCCGUUGGGGCCUUUGAGGCUUUAGUGGCGCAGCUAACGCGAUAAGUAGACCGCCUGGGGAGUACGGUCGCAAGACUAAAACUCAAAUGAAUUGACGG